rnacentral:lncRNA from 1 species
CUCCCUGUAUAUGUAGUAGCAUCCCAGUCAGCCGUAGGUAUGUGGGAAGCUUGUCUAACCCCUCCACUGCUCUUUCUUCUCGUUUCCAGGAUUUGCCUGUUAAAUUUCCAGCUGGUCAGCCAGUUUGCUGCUCACUCUAAAGACAACUGCAGUCUCAGGAAGACAUCUAACUAGAAACUCCUUCCUUGGAUCGGAAUUCCGUACUCUAGCAGUGGUUGGAAUUUCAGUCAUUGGUGCUUUCAGGUUAAAAGGAAGAUUAGCCCUGAGCUAACAUCUGCCGCCAAUCCUCCUCUUUUUGCUGAGAUUUCCAGACUGGCUCUGAGCUAACAUCUGCCGCCAAUCCUCCUCUUUUUGCUGAGAUUUCCAGACUAGCUCUGAGCUAACAUCCAUGCC